rnacentral:lncRNA from 1 species
AGGUGUCCAGUUGUUAUGAACGUAAAAAUACGUAAUAAAUCCGUUGUUAGCCAUACAAUGUGCUCCACCAAAAUAUGGAAUGGAACAUUCCAGUACACACUAGGUAAUGGCAUAGUUAUCAUAUUGAUGUGACUACACACAGAGAUGUGACCACCUACACAACGUUGGUGUCCGUCCAUAGAAUGCGUAGUUAUGAACGCAAGAAAAG